ACACUUUAUCCUGCUUUGACAUUGUUUGGAGCUGGCAAUAUUGUGUCUAAAUUUUGGAGAACAGUCUGAAUCUAUAAUAUGCGCUGCUCAGAUGAAACUGAAACACACAAAUGCAGAGAAGACAUCAAGGACGACAGACAGCGCAUACAUUAAAGGUUCAAUUGCUCCUGUUCUUCAGAGCUCCCUCUUUCUCCACCCCACUUCAAUGGGUCAGCUCGCCUCUAUGCCCUUGACUGGGAUGUAUUGGAACAUAUUGCCGUGCUAAACGUUAGCGACAGCUCUGGCUGAUUUACUGUUCCGUGGGACCUCCUCUCCACCCUCUGAUGCCCCCUGUGAGUAGCCCUGGUCUCGGGGAGGAGAUGAGUUUGCGUGCUCUGUCUGGUUUACUGAGCUCCAGGACGACUGGGGCUAGCUAGGCAUAGAACCAGGACUCCAUUCUCUCACACACAGACAGGUCCAUUGAUUCUGCUGUCUGCGCUGUCUCUCUUCAUAACGCAGAUUACCCAGAAGCCUGACGCCUGCUCUUGCUGUCUUCCCGGACCCUUUUCUCACUCGUUCUCUCUCUCACCGACUUCCUUCUAGUUGGGCCACGUUCAGUUUUGCAUUCUAGUCCUGACCCAUCCUUUUUCAUCUUUGCUUGUCUAUUUGGUGUCUGGUUCUUUUUCAAUGUCCCACAAACACUUGUCAGUUCCAACCCGCUGUCUCUAUGUCUCUGUCUUUCUAUCUGCCUCUUCCAGUCAUCAUCUAUCAUUCCAGAUUCUCAAUCCCAGUCCUGUGCCUUCCAGAAUCUCAUUCUGAAAUCAGUAAGAGAGAGCUUUGAUCUACUCAUUCAACAGCUCAUUUCUUUGUGGACGGUGUGUUAUUUUAGUAUUAUUU